AAGUGGGUAACUUCUGCCAUGUCAAGGAAGGACUUGUUCUUGGGCAGCUCCUAGGUAACAGAUUCACAGUCACCUUACGGUAUGUGUGCUUUCUUUCAUGGAUUUCAUUUAUGUUGGCUGGUUAUAUUUUCCAAUUUCUCUAGUGGCAUGGUCUCACAGCUCUUACAUUUCCCUAGAGGAGUCAUUGCAGAUUCUGAAACUACCAUCAAAGGUUCUGCAGAUUCAUUAGGAAGGCAU
rnacentral:misc_RNA from 1 species